GUUUAGAACUGGACUAAAUAUGGCAGAUAUUAGAACAUGUCAACUGUUAGAACGCGAAUACUGAAGGCUAAUUCGUUAUUUGUUUACACUUAAACGUAUCAAAGACGACCUGUAUGGUUAAAGAGUGCAUUAACCUCUACUAUGUCUGUAUCCCACAAGCUAUAAAGUGGAUAUUCAAGAUACAGAGAACUACUAGAUCAGCCAGUUAAGAUUAAAAACUUUUACGAAGGAGGCUACCUGUUGAUCCAACAACUACUAGUCUGCUUGCGCUUUCCACCACCUACAACUUUAUUCGCCUACACGAUACUCUAGUCAUUGAACCAAGCACCUUUCCUCUUUUUCAUUAAACCGUCCUCGUUUCAGAUGUCUGACGUCUUUUAUAUAAUAAAAUCAAAAUUUUUGGU